rnacentral:lncRNA from 1 species
UCGAGGACAGCAAGGCCAGAUCAUCCCACCUCCCUGGCCACCUUACCCCCUCCUUCCUCGGCUCCCAGCCUCCUCACGGCCCACGAUGCUCCAGGACCCCAGCAACCUGGGAGUUGAGGCUGGCUCUCCACCUGCGCAAGUGUGGGCAACAGCUUCAGGAGUCCUUGACAACUGCCCUAUUCCUGGAAGCCCACCGAAAUUACUCAACUAAGCAGAUGUCUGGGACCAAAGAAAAUCACAAAUGUUCCUGGAAAAUUGCAGAGUUAAGCAAACCUCUGUUAAGUCAUGUUUGAAUGAUUACCAAGGUUCUACGAAAGUCCUGUGACCACUUCCUAAUUGCAAGAAGAAAACAACCAAAAGGUUGCCAGCUAGCAGUAUGAAUUGGUCCUGUAAUUUGUGUUAGAAAUAGAACUUUGUGGACUAUCUCCUUACUAGCUUCAAGCAGUAAAAACCAUUUGCUCAAACCAAAAGACUUGGCUGAUCUUUUGGCUGAUGCACCUCCAGCAAGGAGCCCUUUGUGUUCAGUAAAAAACUUGGUGACCUAUAUGGGUCAGUUACCCUACCUAGUAAGACCCCUGCUCUUCCACCUAAGAGAAGGUGACCUUGGAACAAUCUUUUGCUAAUAACCUUCUUGCCAGUCCCCCUUCUUAUAAAAACCUUCCAUUUUGUACAACUUCGAGGCUUGCUAGGUGGGAUGCUGCCUGAUUCACCAAUCAUUUAAUAAAGCCAAGUGGAUGUUCAAAUUUACCCGGCUGAAUUCUAGUUUGUAACACUACUUAAGAUAAACUCCCUGUACACCUGGCCCAGCAUUAACACAGGACAGGGAAUUAUGUCUCUCUUAAUUUUUUAAAAAUCUCAUGUUGAAUCUCUCAAAUCAGCAGCAACAACAUAGAGUUCUAAAAUUCUUAUCAUUUAUUACGAAUAGUUGAAAGUUAAAAAAAAAAAAUGUCCUUGCUUUCAACAUUUUCUUUCGGUAACAGCUAAUAGCUUCGUACUCGCCGUCUCCCAUGGCUUCCUCUCUGGGGUUCUCGCCCCUUCUCUGGCGGUCUCAGGCUCCCCAGCUCUCCAACUCCCACAACAGUCCCAGGAAAAGUUUCACCU